GGAGUCGGGGAGGUGGUUGCUCCUUCAAAAGAAGGGGAGGAAAGUCCGAACUCCACAGGACAGGAUGGUCGUUAACAGCGACUCCGGAUAACCGGAGGAAAGUGCCGCAGAAAACAAACCGCCUGAUUAGGUAAGGGUGAAAAGGUGAAGUAAGAGCUCACCGCUUUGAUGGUGACAUCAGAGGCAUGGCAAACCCCAUCCGGAGCAAGGCCAAAUUGGCCCUGAUGAGAUGGUCCGUCUCAAGGGGCGGGUAGACCGCUUAACCUAUGGAGCAAUCCUUGGGUCAGAUAAAUAACCACCACCCGUUGUCUCAACGGGAACAGAAUUCGGCUUACCACCGACUCCAGUU
rnacentral:RNase_P_RNA from 1 species